GUGACCUCUGACAGGUCUAGCAGCUGACCGCUAAAUGGUUAAAUAACAUGAGGCCUCAGUCAGAGUGAGUGUUUGAACUGGCACACAGACCGACAUCCAGGAUAUCCUCUUGUUAAAACCAGCAGAGAUCCAGGAGUGAGGGAAGCAAUUCAGACAUUUAUUGUGAAGUGACACAAAUUAAAGACAGUUCAAAGCUUCUCCUCUAACAUCAGGCAAUAAACAGCAAAGGGAAUCAGAGAAAUCAAACCCUGCCUGGCCGCACUCACCUCACCUGUCGGAAAUAAAACCUGGCUGAAAUAAGAGAAACCAACCUAAACCUUCUGCCCAGCUCCUGAACUCACUAACCUAACGCCUCAAACGACUUAACAUUAGCUUCAGAGCUAACACACAGCUCAGGUGUUUCCACAAAGAGACUUUUAUCAGGCUGAGGCUCAGUGGGACCAUAAAGAUAACUUGAACUGAGGAGGGUUGGGGGGUUCAAACUCUCCUUGAAGCAUCAUUAAGUUUCUCUAUUUAGCCGGCCGGACAUUAACACAGCGGCUGACGGACAGGUGGAAUCUAAACUGGACAUCUGGCGCCACCUGCUGCUGAGCAACAGAAUCACUUUAACACAGGCGAGACCUUCACUGGGAACUGAUCCGGUGUUCACCAUGUGGCGGCUGAUGGUGUGCAGGGCUUCUGGCAGGAAAACAACAGCGCUGCGGUGGAAACGUCAAACAGAUGUCCUUUCCUAACCCGAAUUCACAAGGACUUAGGAGAAGACAAACAUGAUACUAUAGGUUUAAAAUAAUCUAGAUUUUUUUACACAUCGAAUAUAAAAACAGUGACAAACUCGGAUGUUUA